CCCUUAGAUGUUCUGGGCCGCACGCGCGCUACACUGAUGCAUUCAACGAGUCUAAAACCUGCUCUGAUAGGGGUGGGUAAUCUUUUGAAUGUGCAUCGUGAUUGGGAUAGAUGAUUGCAAUUUUUCAUCUUCAACGAGGAAUGCCUAGUAAACGCAAGUCAUCAGCUUGCAUUGAUUACGUCCCUGCCCUUUGUACACACCGCCCGUCGCUCCUACCGAUUGAAUGAUCCGAUGAAUAUCAUGGAUUGAGGAUGCAAGUAGGUUAGCCUAUCUUCAUCUUCGAGAAGUGAAGUAAAUCUUAUCAUUUAGAGGAAGGAGAAGUCGUAGCA
rnacentral:rRNA from 1 species